GAAGGGGGCUAGCGUUGCUCGGAAUUACUGGGCGUAAAGGGAGCGUAGGCGGACAGCUAAGUCAGAGGUGAAAGCCCAGGGCUCAACCCUGGAAUUGCCUUUGAUACUGGCUAUCUUGAGUAUGGGAGAGGUAUGCGGAACUCCGAGUGUUGAGGUGAAAUUCGUAGAUAUUCGGAAGAACACCAGUGGCGAAGGCGGCAUACUGGCCCAUUACUGACGCUGAGGCUCGAAAGCGUGGGGAGCAAACAGGAUUAGAUACCCUGGUAGUCCACGCCGUAAACGAUGAGAGCUAGUUGUCGGCAUGCAUGCAUGUCGGUGACGCAGCUAACGCAUUAAGCUCUCCGCCUGGGGAGUCCGGUCGCAAGAUUA
rnacentral:rRNA from 1 species